CAAAGUGAAACUCCUGCCAAGUCCUGAUAUGCCUGGCACUGCCCAGGUACCAGGGCAGGGGAAAUAACAGCAGUGUCCAUCCUCCACUGUGAGCCAUGAGUCGCAAGCCAGGCACCGCCCGGUAGCUGCCUGCCUAAUUUUCUUCAUCUUAACCUGCUUCCUGGGGGAAAGAGGCUGUGGGGCGUUUGUGAGCCUUGCCACGGCCAGUACUAGGGGUGACCCUGCGAUGGACCACUCCUGCUCUUUUUCCCUCCCUGAGUUUUAGAGUCUCGGGCGGACCUAUCCAGAGGCCUGCGGCCUUUUCAUCCUUUAUGCUCUCCACCCCAAGAGAGCCCCUUGGUAGAUCCAUCUUGGAGCUGUGUCCAGCAGCCUGGACCACCUCAAGGCCCUGUCCCUGAGAAAGGAUGCAGGAUGAACAUUACAAAAUGCUGAUGAAAAAUAUCAAGGAACAUCUGAAUAAAUGGAGAGACUUCCCAUGUUCAUGGAUCGGAGAAAUGAACAUAAUAGCGAGUCGGUUUUCUCUAUAAUUAUCUAUAGAUUUAACAUAACUCCUAUCAAAACCUCAGCAACGUAUUUUUUGUAGACAUAGACAAGCUUAUUCUACGUGGAAAAACACAGGUCCAAAAAUAUCCAGAAGAUUUCUCAAAAAGAAUAAUAAAGUGGAAGCACUCACUU
rnacentral:sRNA from 1 species